UAAAACUGAGACCCUGAAGCAGAGAAGAAGAGAAAGAAGAAGAAGACAUACUCAUAAUCCAAGCUCUCGAUGUGAGAAACUUUGGUGCCGACCAAAGCAAGUGGUGUGGAAGAAAGUUUUCGAUUAGCCUUAACAAGAGAUAAAGAAGAAACUGGCUUUUGGUCGGAAACUCUGCAACAGAACUGUGUUUAAGGUUCUUGAAGAGCUUUCUCUUUUAAAGAAAGCACUUAUGGGUGGGUUUUUCUAUUUUAAUUAUUUAUCUUUCCAUGCAAAUUAAUUUUUAGGCUUUUGUCUUUAUUUUGCUUUCUACCAAGUUUUAUACUAGUACAUGUCUACAUACAUACGUAUGUGUAGAUGCAUAUAUUAUUUGUUUUUUUUUUUGGAUCAAAUAAUCUAUACUUGUUUUCUUCUACACCAAACAACCAAAUCAAUGCUAUUUGUUAUUUUUAUCUGUAAACAAAAAAGGGAAAAUUGCCAAAAGAGAACAAAAAAAUCAGGUUAUUGUCCCUUUGGUAUAAAACCAAUUUUGUCCAUUUUUUCUCAUUUUUAUCCUUUGUAUUUCUGAAAACUAAUGAAAUAAAUAAUUUUGUGAAUCAAAAAAAUUAUUAAAAAUAUAAACAAUUAAUAAAACAUCCAUAUACACAAGCUGGUAAAUUUCUUUUGUUCAAAAACUUGUAAAUAAGAUUUUUAAAAUACGUCUACUAAAAGUAGAAUGCGUCUUCUACGAAAAAUGGUAUAGUAGAAAACGAUUUCUAAAAUAAACACGUUCAUCUACUUCUCUUAUAACGUCCAUUUUACUAUUUACUAAAUUUCUAAAAAAGAGGAAUGCAAAUUCUACUAAUCGUAAAGGUAUCCACUUUCCUUCCGAAUGCAUCUUCUACUUUUAUAAAGUAUUCUAAAUUUUGGAGAAUGUAUUUUCUACAAUGUACUCUUAUGUCUACUCAAAGUAGAAAGUGUAUUCAGAAUUUUUAUCAUUCUUCUAAACUUUUAGAAGUCACCUUCUACGGAUAAGAAUACCUGAUUUUUUGCAAAAAUUAAUGAAAUUUCAGUUAAGAAAAUAUUUUAAAAAUCUCCUAGAAAUAUUCUAACUUCCUAAAACGUGUUAUGGUCGAUUUUACUUGAAAAAAUUAAAUAAAAAAAUGAUUCUCCCUUCUCUUCUUCAUCAAUCUAUGGUUUUUCCAUAAUUUUUCUUUUGAUUCUUCUCACAAACUCUUGUUCUCUAAGAUGCAUAUCUAUACCUCUUUUUUUCAUUGCCUUUCAACUGUUUUUUUUUUUCCUUUUCUCCAUUAACUUUUUUUUUUUAAAAUUCAAAUUAACUUUUAAGUUGUAUUUAAUUAGAUUAAAUAUAAGGUUAGUUUUGGGGUUAUGAGAAAAAUUAUACUAUCGAAACAAUUUUAUGUUGGUUUUAUAGCAAAGGGACAGCAACCUUAUUUUUUUGUUCUCUUUUAGCAAUUUUCCCAACAAAAAACUACAUAAAACCUAUGAAAACUCCUUUCAAAACAUGUUUGUGUCUCAAUGGUCCAAAUUGAUUUAAACACUAAAAUGUAACUAAAUAACGAAACUAUGAUAAAAUAUCAAUAAAUUAAGACUAAGAUCUCUAUUUGAAAAUUUAACAAUGUUUUACAAAUGGAUUGAAGACUAUUUCUGAACCUCUCCAACUCAGCCAAGACAUUACACCAUACAGAUCAGAAGCAUCUUUAAGCCUAUCACAUGUACCCACGUGUAACAGUUCCAAUGCGCCAAACUUCUGGAAACCUUGACCUCUUGAGGUGAUCAAAGAGACACUUCUAAUCUUUUAUAUAUUACUAAUAAAAAGUUGAAACAGUUAGCAGUUAGCACUACUAGAAAUGGUAUUUUAGAGUCUCAGGUAAAAAAAAAAGUAUGAACCUCUCAAAUGAAAAUAUCAAUAUUUUAUUUGUUUAUUAUUUUGGUACUUGUUUUAAAGACAGUUAAACCAUUACCUGAAUAAAGCUAUAACUUGAGUUUCUUAUGUAUUUUUAAAUGUUUAUUAAAAAGGAAUUGUUCUAAAAGCUUUCUCUUAACUUUAACUUCUUAUUUAUUUUAAUUUUGAGAUGCCAACGAUGAUAAUGCUAUUUCAUUUUUUUAACUAAUCUUAUAGUAUCAUUUAGUCCUUCUUUUUCAUUUUUCUAAUUACCAUUUCUCGUCGAAACAUAUUUGAAAACCAUUUUCAUAAUAAAUCGAACCCAACAAGUAACAGUGAUAAAACCUACAAAGAAACAAGAAAAAAGAAAAAAAGAUAAAUAACAAUCCAAACUACUAAACUAGACCAUAAGAUUUUGGUUCGCGCAGCGCAAGAGAUUAAAGCAACAUUGUGCAUGUGAUUAUCACAAGAAGAGAGUUACCGAACGGCGAUCUUGUCUGUCUGUGCCCACUAAGAAUACUUGUCUUAUCCAAGACCAGUUGGCAGUCGUGGUUCAUGUGAUUUUUAUAUGAGAAAUAAAAGAUUUAAACAAAAGUCGUAUAUGUGUUUUUCUGCUAGGUUAUUAGCAUGUUUGUCUCCCUCGCAGUCGUAAAAAUUACCGCACUAUUUGUCAAUUUAUUUUUACACUAGUA